rnacentral:rRNA from 1 species
ACUCAAAUGAAUAGACGGGGGCCCGCACAAGCAGUGGAUUAUGUGGUUUAAUUCGAAGCAACGCGAAGAACCUUACCAGGGCUUGACAUCCAAAUAACGAUGCAGAGACGCAUUGGUGCCCUUCGGGGAAAUUUGAGACAGGUGGUGCAUGGUUGUCGUCAGCUCGUGUCGUGAGAUGUUGGGUUAAGUCCCGCAACGAGCGCAACCCCUAUUGUUAGUUGCUACGCGAGAGCACUCUAGCGAGACUGCCGUUGACAAAACGGAGGAAGGCGGGGACGACGUCAAAUCAUCAUGCCCCUUAUGUCCUGGGCUACACACGUAAUACAAUGGCGUUCAACAGAGGGAAGCUAAGCCGCGAGGUGGAGCAAAUCCCGAAAAGGCGUCCCAGUUCGGAUCGCAGGCUGCAACCCGCCUGCGUGAAGUCGGAAUUGCUAGUAAUCGCGGAUCAUCAUGCCGCGGUGAAUACGUUCCCGGGCCUUGUACACACCGCCCGU